GUGCCAGCAGCCGCGGUAAUACGGGGGGUGCAAGCGUUAUUCGGAAUUAUUGGGCGUAAAGGGCGCGUAGGCGGUCUUUUAAGUCAGAUGUGAAAGCCCGGGGCUUAACCCCGGGAGUGCAUUUGAAACUAAAAGACUUGAGUAUGGGAGAGGGAAGUUGAAUUCCUGGGGUAGAGGUGAAAUUCGUAGAUAUCAGGAGGAACCCCGGUGGCGAAGGCGACUUCCUGGACCAAUACUGACGCUGCGGCGGGAAGGCGUGGGGAGCGGACAGAAUUAGAUACCCUUGUAGUCCCCGCAGUAA
rnacentral:rRNA from 1 species